rnacentral:rRNA from 1 species
CUUGGUCAUUUAGAGGAAGUAAAAGUCGUAACAAGGUUUCCGUAGGUGAACCUGCGGAAGGAUCAUUAUCAAGUUGUGGCUCGCGCUUAAACGCGCAUGUCCACAUUCAACUUAACACACCUGUGAUUUGUGCGCCUUGGAUGGUGUAGCUGUGCGAAAGGAAGGACUAGCUUGACCGCUGGUCCGGGUGUCUGCACAGUGUGCGCCAUCUUCUUGCUUUCAACCAUGCUUUGCAGAAUGCAAUCUUUGAAAUGUAAUAAAUUUUUUAAAUAACAAUACAACUGUUGGCAACGGAUCACUAGGCUCUCACAUCGAUGAAGAACGUAGCGAAUUGCGAAAAGUAAUGCGACUUGCAUCUAUCGUGAAUCAUCGAAUCUUUGAACGCAAAUUGUACCCUUCGGUCUCCCGGGGGGUCUGCCUGUUUGAGUGUCACCAAAGAAACUUCGAACGAAUUUGCCUUUGGCAAUUCGAUCGGCGAUGGGCUUAUCCGAGUGGGGCUUCUGCCACUGCUUGGAACGCUUGAAAUGGAUUAUGAGGCCGAGUCACCUUGCAACUGAAUGUGCCGUUGUGCCUUCCGUUGAUGACUGCCAUCCUUCGUGUAGGUCGCCUAUAGCGAUUCCGCGAUUCGCCGGAAGGCGUUUAGCAGCGGGCCGGGGGAAGUGCUCGUCGAUGGACCAGCGGUGCUGCAUGGUGUAAAAAGGCUGUAAAUUGCAACAAGCAAGGCAAAGACGGUUGACGCUUGCGUGAAUCGUAAUGUCUUAUUCAUCGUUGAUCUCAAAUCACGUAGGAUUACCCGCUGAACUUAAGCAUAUUAAUAAGCGGAGGAAAAGAAACCAACAGGGAUUCCCUUAGUAACGGCGAGUGAACCGGGAAAAGCUCAAAUUUAAAAUCGGGUCAGCUGCGCGCUGGUCCCGACGUGUAGUUUGACAAGACAUGUUCGGCGGCGGCCCGGGUCUAAAUCCCUUGGAAUGGGGUAUCAUAGAGGGUGAAAGUCCCGUCUAUGACCUGUGUUUGCCUGCAUGCCAUGUGAACUGUCUUUUACGAGUCGGGUUGCUUGGGAGUGCAGCCCUAAAUGGGUGGUAAAUUCCAUCUAAGGCUAAAUAUAUGUGAGAGACCGAUAGCGAACAAGUACCGUGAGGGAAAGUUGAAAUAGCACUCUGAAGAGAGAGUCAAACAGUACGUGAAAUUGCCAACAGGGAAACGCUGGUCACCAGUACACGCUGACAGACAUUCAGUCGACAUGGUUGGCGGGGUGAGUAGAGGAGGAGCAUGUUGCGUGCCCUUCUUUGCUGACAUUCGUCGGUUAUAUCGGUGCACUUGGCUGUCUGCGGGUCAACAUGGGUUUGUGGCGUCAUAUAAGGGCACAUGGAAGGUAGGACGCACGCAAGUGUGUCCACUUAUAGCCAUGAGUCUACAUGAUGGCAUAGACCGAGGAUUCGCAGUCUGCGCCUCUUAGAGGCAGGGCUCCCGUUUAUGUUCGGGUCGCUUAUCGGAAGGACAGCUUGCUGACCCCUGAUGAGAGGCUUGUGCAUGUGCGGAUGGCUUCUUGCAGGCUUAGGAUGUUGACGAAAUGGUGUUCAACGACCCGUCUUGAAACACGGACC